GUGGGGAAUCUUGCGCAAUGGGCGAAAGCCUGACGCAGCCAUGCCGCGUGAAUGAUGAAGGUCUUAGGAUUGUAAAAUUCUUUCACCGGGGACGAUAAUGACGGUACCCGGAGAAGAAGCUCCGGCUAACUUCGUGCCAGCAGCCGCGGUAAUACGAAGGGGGCUAGCGUUGCUCGGAAUUACUGGGCGUAAAGGGCGCGUAGGCGGACAGCUUAGUCAGAGGUGAAAGCCCAGGGCUCAACCUUGGAAUUGCCUUUGAUACUGGCUGUCUUGAGUUUUGGAGAGGUGAGUGGAACUCCGAGUGUAGAGGUGAAAUUCGUAGAGAUUCGGAAGAACACCAGUGGCGAAGGCGACUCACUGGCCCAAUACUGACGCUGAGGCGCGAAAGCGUGGGGAGCAAACAGGAUUAGAUACCCCAGUAGUCC
rnacentral:rRNA from 1 species